rnacentral:lncRNA from 1 species
AUGGCUGGCAGUCCCUGGAAGCCCCCACGGCUGGCAAAAACACCCUCCGUGGACGGCCCCCCCAAGAGAGAGGGCAGCUUUGCCAAAAGUGGGCCAAAGGUCUCUCUGCCAGCGGAAGAGCCUGGCCUGGUCUUCAGCCCCAAAGCGAGGACGGCGUCCAGUUCGUCCAGUGAAGAUGCCUGCCUUAAGACAGUCAGAGCCACCAUGUUUGAACACCACGUGGAGAGACACAGUGUGGUGGCCAGCCAGCUUGGCGCCGAACCGGCCUUGCUGUCCCUGAGGGCGACCUUCGGAGGCUCGCCCUCCCACGGCCAGGAAUUUCGGCAGGAGAGAAUGCUGGGAGACGGCCAGGCGACCAAAGCCUCCAACUGGGAGGCCGGAGGGCCCGAAGACCCCAGGCCUUUCACCGAGGACGAAGAUCCCUUGAGGGAGGAGGAUUCCCUGCUGGCGCAAAGGAUCGAGCCCAGGUACGAGAUCCUGCAGACCGUGGGGGAGAUGGUGCAGAGCGAGGCGGUGGCAGCCGUCUCCGGAGGGAAGGCCGUCACUCUCCGCCGCCAGAGACCCUUGAAGGAGAAUCGGAGGGCCGGGGGCUGUGGCAAGAGCGAAGGCUGGAGAGGGGCUUCUGGCCUGGGAACCGGCCCCUUGAAGGACCUCCCGGCCUCCGGGAGACAGGCUGUGUUGCACAGAGAAGGAACCGGGCCAGAGAGAAAUCAGGCCGGGCAGCAGGCAGCCUCAGGGAGAGCAGCGUCUUUCAGGGUGAAGGAUGGCGGCCACUUGGCCCCCUGGCUGGAAACCAGGAAGGAGAGGCGGCUCACUGCUGCUGAGGUCCAGAGGGAGGGGGCCACAGGGCCCAAGGGCCACACCCUGCAGAGGACUGGAGCCGGGGCGCCCGAGGCCGAUGGCUGGGAAGGCAGGGCUGGCGUGCUGGAUCAGAGGGCCAGCUGCCCAGGACUCCUCUUCAGCCUGGACCUGAAGCCCCCUCAGGGGCCAGAGGAUCCCAAAGGGCAGAAGCUGCGAGCAGCCUGGGAAGCCUGGGAGGCUCCGGCGGAAGGAAAGGAGCCGCCAGAGCUCAGCCUGGAAGUGAGGUGGGCGAGCGGCGUCCGUGGUGCUUCGGCUGCCAAAGGUUCAGGCCGCUGGCGGAGGAAGACUGUGCCCCACGCUGGCUCUGUCAGGUUUGAGGGCCCGGGGGAACCCCGCCAGGGUGCUGCCGGAUUGGCCAGCAGAAGAGACGCCCUGCAUCCGAUGGGUGGCUCAGCGGCAAAGGGAAGCCCCCAGGCCCCCUGUGGAGUGGAGCCCAGGCAGGCGGAGGUCGCCUCUCCCAGUGGCGCCCAGAAGCCGCUCUCUCCCUCGGAGCCCAAGGCCACGUACUUUGCAGUCACCUACCAGAUCUCGGAGGAGAUCGAUAGCCAGCCUGGGAGAGCUGCGGCUGGGGCUCCUCCUUCCAGAAGUGCCCGUCCCUCCCCUUGCCAGCACAGAGAGAGCUUUUCGGAGGGAGGGAGCUCUCCAGCCGGGCCUCUCCAGCCGGGCCGCUCCAAGGGGCGAAGCGGCGCUUCUCAGGAUCCACCGACCGAGGCCAGAGAGCAGGAGCUGCCGCAGAGACAGCCAGAGGCCACAGCCGAAGGGCAUCCGGCCAGAGCUGACCUGGCCCUCUGUCCUGGGGCCAGGCCUCCUUCCUACUUGGCGCCCCUCCAGCAGCAGAGCCAGCAGCAGAGCCCUGGCUCCCUCGGUCUUGGGGGAGAGCAGCGGGAGGCCCCCGAUCACUACAGGUCGAGAGUGGUGGACAUUGACGAGCUGAUGGCAGAAUACGGGGGGGAGUCCCAGAAGCUUUGGGCCCGAGAGGAGGGCCAGAGCGAGAGCAGCUUCUUUCCUUGGGAGAAAUGGACCCCCAGGACCUUUCCCUGCAGCUCUGACCCGAGAGGGGGGAAGGCCAGGGAGGAGCACGCCCUGGGCGGUGGCCAAGGGGCGGGCACGGAGGGCAGCCGUGUGCCUGGCAGCAUGGAUCCAUGGGGGGCCAGAGAGGGAACCUGCAGUCCUCCCCAGUGGGGCAAGCCAGACACCGAGAAGCCAAAGCCACGAUCCGCCGAGCCCCCCGGGCCAAGGUCGAAGAAGACAGCCUUUCCGGUUGGCAGGGAGCAAGGAGAGGGCACCGGGCAGGGCCCCCAGAGUGCCAAAGGGGCCAGUCCCGGCCCCCACCCUGCCCGUAGGGACCUCGGAGGCUGGUGGAAGGAAGCCGGUCUGAAGCAGUGGGCCGUCCUGGCCCCAGCCGGGGGGUGGUGCCCCAGCAGUGACUUGCCGGAUGGCCAGCCUGGGUGGAAAGCUGAGCCCCAGGCCGGUGUCUGGGGGAAGGGCCCUCCCGCAGCGCGGCAGCCUGGGGCGGAGCGGAGCAGUGCCAGCGCAUCCCCAGGGACGGGAGCCGUGCCGGACCUCAAUCCUUGCUCCUCUGGAAAGAGCCACCCAAGCCCAGCGAGGCUCAGCUUCCCUUUGGGACCAAGGCUGGAUCCAACCCACACUUGUCAGAGGCUCUGCCUGAGCAAGGGAAGCCUGUCGCCCGGGGACUGCCUCUCCCACGCAGGGACACGGGUACGUGUGGGCCUGGGAGUCGGGGGGGGGGGGCGUCUGGCUCCCUUGGGAGUUGAACUCAGCCUGCCUGGAGACAUCCAGGGAGGAGGACAAGGGGGGCUGGCGAGACUCAGGGCCUGA